AUUGAACGCUGGCGGCAGGCCUAACACAUGCAAGUCGAGCGGGGUUUUCGGACCUAGCGGCGGACGGGUGAGUAAUGCGUAGGAAGCUGCCCGAUAGAGGGGGAUACCAGUUGGAAACGACUGUUAAUACCGCAUAAUGUCUACGGACCAAAAUGUGGGACCUUCGGGCCACAUGCUAUCGGAUGCGCCUACGUGGGAUUAGCUAGUUGGUGAGGUAAUGGCUCACCAAGGCGACGAUCUCUAGCUGGUUUGAGAGGAUGAUCAGCCACACUGGAACUGAGAAACGGUCCAGACUCCUACGGGAGGCAGCAGUGGGGAAUAUUGGACAAUGGGCGCAAUCCUGAUCCAGCCAUGCCGCGUGUGUGAAGAAGGCCUUCGGGUUGUAAAGCACUUUCAGCGAGGAGGAAGGGGUGUGUGUUAAUAGUACACACCUUUGACGUUACUCGCAGAAGAAGCACCGGCUAACUCUGUGCCAGCCGCCGCCGUAACAC
rnacentral:rRNA from 1 species